GCCGUACUGUGACAGUGCGCAGGCGCCGCUGGCGGGGACGUGAAGUAGCGAAGGGGCGCCCUGCGGGUGUGGGAGGGGGCCCGGGCCCGGGGUCGCAGAAAAAUACAACUUUAAUAAAUUCAUCUAGGAGUGAAAUUCUGAGACAAUGGUAAUCCCCACAUGAUCUGAUAUCCUUCUGGAGCCAACACUGCAACCACAGGGGUGGACGAGGCAGCUAAGAACUGGUAUCCUUCAACUUCCAAGGAACAGAAGAGGAGGAUGAGUUGCCCAGAAAAAA